ensembl:misc_RNA Metazoa_SRP Metazoan signal recognition particle RNA
GCCAGGCACGGUGGCUCGUGCCUGUAGUCCCAGCUACUCGGGAGGCUGAGGUGGGAGGAUCGCUUGAGCCCAGGAGUUCUGGGCUGUAGUGCGCUAUGCCGAUCGGGUGUCCGCACUAAGUUCGUCAUCGAUAUGGUGACCUCCCAGGAGCGGGGAACCACCAGGUUGCCUAAGGAGGGGUGAACUAGCCUAGGUUGGAAACGGAGCAGGUCAAAACUCCCAUGCUGAUCAGUAGUGGGAUCGCGCCUGUGAAUAGCCACUGCACUCCAGCCUGGGCAACAUAGCAAGACCCCAUCUCU